GUUAAAACAGAUGCCGGCGGAAAAUCUAAGCGGUUUUCUAGAUGACCGGUUGGCCAACCUGUUAAAUCAAGCUCGCAACAGCCUCUAAGAAAAAGGAGUCUUGGAAGCCCUGCGGGUUAAAUACGACUAAAAAUUUUUAUUGCCAGUUAUCGACAUCAAACAUAUUUAAUUUUCUAUGAUCUACAGGCACUCGCCUUUAUUAGAGAUCCACAGACGAAAUUAGUUAAAGGCACGGCUGACAAAUUGAAGCCGUGGGCAAUCAAACUCUUGGCGUCGUCAAAUAGCAACAACAGUCGAGAUGUGGUCUUGGACGAGUUCCCGGAAUGGCUGCAACGUUCCAUGGGCCGGAUCAGAGACACCAACAUCAAGUUGAAGAGGAUUGCCAACGAGAUUUUCGUUUCUUUAUUAGAUUUCUACAGAUGAAACCGAUCAGCACAUUUGACAUGAAGGAUGCUCAAGGGUCGUCCAAACAUCGUCUGGUGUGGACUAACAUUCCGGAACAGAAUUUCAAUUCGCAAUUGAAGCAAGUCAUCAAUAACGACCAUUCGUCCAUUUCCAAUCUUCCGCUCAGCCGAGUGCCGACAGCCUUUUUUCAUUAAAUACCCUUGGAUUCUUGAAGAUAUCGUGGCCAUAAACCAACCCCUGCCAGCCAACUGGCAGGAGAAACACGACCGGAUGCUGUUUCAGCGCGAUACCCGAAGCAAGACGAA